GGUUGUAUAGUGUAGCGGUCAUCACAUCGGAUUCUGAUCUUCUCCCAACCCGAUGGAUCUUCCGGGAACCCCGGUUCGAUUCCGGGUACGACCU